UACGUAGGGGGCAAGCGUUGUCCGGAAUUAUUGGGCGUAAAGAGCGUGUAGGCGGUCCGGUAAGUCAGCUGUGAAAGUCAAGGGCUCAACCCUUGAAAGCCGGUUGAUACUGUCGGGCUAGAGUCCGGAAGAGGCGAGUGGAAUUCCCGGUGUAGCGGUGAAAUGCGCAGAUAUCGGGAGGAACACCAAUGGCGAAGGCAGCUCGCUGGGACGGUACUGACGCUGAGACGCGAAAGCGUGGG
rnacentral:rRNA from 1 species